CAGAAUGUAGCUUAUUUUAAAGCUAAUUAUUUACAUUAAUUUGAAAAUUUAAAUUCUUUCUGA
rnacentral:tRNA from 1 species